AUUGAACGCUGGCGGCAGGCUUAACACAUGCAAGUCGAGCGCCCCGCAAGGGGAGCGACAGACGGGUGAGUAACGCGUGGGAAUCUACCGAGCCCUGCGGAAUAGCUCCGGGAAACUGGAAUUAAUACCGCAUACGCCCUACGGGGGGAAGAUUUAUCGGGGUUUGAUGAGCCCGCGUUGGAUUAGCUAGUUGGUGGGGUAAUGGCCUACCAAGGCGACGAUCCAUAGCUGGUCUGAGAGGAUGAUCAGCCACAUUGGGACUGAGACACGGCCCAAACUCCUACGGGAGGCAGCAGUGGGGAAUAUUGGACAAUGGGGGCAACCCUGAUCCAGCCAUGCCGCGUGAGUGAUGAAGGCCUUAGGGUUGUAAAGCUCUUUCACCGGUGAAGAUAAUGACGGUAACCGGAGAAGAAGCCCCGGCUAACUUCGUGCCAGCCGCCGCCGUAA
rnacentral:rRNA from 1 species